AUUGAACGCUGGCGGCAGGCCUAACACAUGCAAGUCGAGCGGAUGAAGGGAGCUUGCUCCUGGAUUCAGCGGCGGACGGGUGAGUAAUGCCUAGGAAUCUGCCUGGUAGUGGGGGAUAACGUCCGGACACGGGCGCUAAUAUCGCAUACGUCCUGAGGGAGAAAGUGGGGGAUCUUCGGACCUCACGCUAUCAGAUGAGCCUAGGUCGGAUUAGCUAGUUGGUGGGGUAAAGGCCUACCAAGGCGACGAUCCGUAACUGGUCUGAGAGGAUGAUCAGUCAAACUGGAACUGAGACACGGUCCAGACUCCAACGGGAGGCAGCAGUGGGGAAUAUUGGACAAUGGGCGAAAGCCUGAUCCAGCCAUGCGGGGGGGGUGAAGAAGGUCUUCGGAUGGUAAAGCACUUUAAGGGGGGAGGAAGGGCAGUAAGUUAAUACCUUGCUGUUUGGACGUUACCAACAGAAUAAGCACCGGCUAACUUCGU
rnacentral:rRNA from 1 species